GAGAUUUUGGGUUUGACUGCUAGGCCUGAGCAUAGUGUACAUGAAUUAUCUAGUAAUUAUUGUAGGUGUCAUAAUUAUCAUGUUUUUUAGUAUUUAACGUUAAUUAAAUGAAGUUUAAUUUAAAGCAAUUUAUGUGUAAAAAAAAAACACAAAAGACAAUUAAAUACUUCCAACCUCUUAUAUAGGGUAGUGUAAAAAAUAGGGUAGUGUAAGUAUAUGUUGCAACUCAAAUCUAUGAAAUAAGUGCGUUUCUCCUAUUGACCUUGAUCAAGAUUGCAAGAAAUGUAUAACAUUUGGAGAAAGCUUCAGACUCAGAGAUGCUAGUUAUCCAGAGGACUUGAGCUGAGAGAAGGAGAGCUGGAGUUAAUGGUGGAUCCGCAGUGAGGCACAGAGGACACAGGGAACACAAGCUAAGUGCUGUGGAGCUCUGUGAUGCUGAUGUGAUGGGACGGGCCCAGUGAGCUGUGAGGAGGAGGAGUGUGGAUUGAGGUGGCUUUUGGGACAAUGGGCCUGCUCUUCUCCAAUAAAACAUGAAGGCCUCAUCGCAGCAUUCUGGCCCCACUGUACAGUCUUUGUGUUGGAGACCCACCACUAACAAGUAGAUGACACGAAAUGGGAUGCCGAUUAACAAUUUGGCCAGAAUUGGCAUAUACAUGUCAGCUUUAUAAUAAUAUAUGUAGUUAAUUUCAUGAAUGAUCAUUUAUAAAGUAUUACUUUUUAAAAAUAAAGGUUCCAAAAGAGGACUUUUAUCAAAGUGGAACCAUUUUAGGCCAUAUUCUAGUGUGAAGAACAUUUUAACAAUCUAAAGAAUCUUUCUUUAGUAUUUUGAUAGUAUUUGUUUUUCUGUGUGGGGUGUAAAUAUAGCUUAAGUAAAACUCUUAAAUAUUAAAUAUAAAAGUUUUAAAAGGGGGAGACAGAUGGGGCUCAGUGGUUAGCACUGUUGCCUCACAG